GGGGGUGAUCGGUUUCGACUGGAGUGGUAGCUCCAGGAGAAGCGGGCCGAGAAUCCAGAGUCGUCUCGUUAAUGUCCUCUGGGAACCAACAAGUGCCGAUACCAAUCGCACUGACUUCGCUCUCGCUGCCUGAUCAGUGACCGAAGGGUCAGCCCGGACGUAGCCUUCCGUCCGGUUCCUGGCCUCAUUCAGAAGGCUUGCUCAGUGGUCCGUGUCCGGGGGAUCGCUGGGGACUCCUCCCGGACUGGGCUUGGCCGCAACUCGUCGACGUGAGUGCGGGGGCCGAGCAGACCGUCAAGUCGACUGCGCCCGGAGAAGACCUGGUCCGCCUCGUCAGGACGCGGGUUCGAUUCCCGCCACCUCCACGA
rfam:Propionibacterium acidifaciens F0233 ctg1127964738400, whole genome shotgun sequence.